rnacentral:rRNA from 1 species
CGGCAAUAAAGUAAAUUCAACAACAAGCUUGCAAGCAAGCUAACUCGAUCCAAAUGUUUUAAUUCAAUGCUAAAACAAGUCGAAUAAUAACCAAGAGAUUAGCCACACUGGGACUGAGACACAGCCUAUACUCCUACGGGAGGCAACGUGGGGAAUUUUUCGCAAUGGGCGAAAGCCUGAUUUA